GAUGAACGCUGGCGGCGUGCCUAAUACAUGCAAGUCGAGCGAACAGAUGAGGAGCUUGCUCCUCUGACGCUAGCGGCGGACGGGUGAGUAACACGUGGAUAACCUACCUCUACGACUGGGAUAACUUCGGGAAACCGGAGCUAAUACCGGAUAAUAUAUUGAACCGCAUGGUUCAAUAGUGAAAGACGGUUUUGCUGUCACUUAUAGAUGGAUCCGCGCCGCAUUAGCUAGUUGGUAAGGUAACGGCUUACCAAGGCAACGAUGCGUAGCCGACCUGAGAGGGUGAUCGGCCACACUGGAACUGAGACACGGUCCAGACUCCUACGGGAGGCAGCAGUAGGGAAUCUUCCGCAAUGGGCGAAAGCCUGACGGAGCAACGCCGCGUUAGUGAUGAAGGUCUUCGGAUCGUAAAACUCUGUUAUUAGGGAAGAACAAAUGUGUAAGUAACUAUGCACGUCUUGACGGUACCUAAUCAGAAAGCCACGGCUAACUACGUG
rnacentral:rRNA from 1 species